rnacentral:rRNA from 1 species
CUUAAAUUGAAGAGUUUGAUCAUGGCUCAGAUUGAACGCUGGCGGCAGGCCUAACACAUGCAAGUCGAGCGGCAGCGGGAAGAAG